rnacentral:misc_RNA from 1 species
AAGAGAUUAAUUUGACCAGAAGAAGAAGCAAGACAAAAUUAGAGUUAAAACAAACCUAAACAAGUCAUGUAAACCUUUACUACCUAGUUUUCUUUUGCCCAUGCCAUUAUUCUAAAAGGAAAUAAACUCCUUGGAACAUUUUUUUUUUAAAUAAACACCAAAAUGAAAUCACUUAGAAAGUCAUAAUAAUCACUUAUAAUGAAACAUAAUAGACAAACAUAUUCAAUAUAUGACUGUUUGGAAGCUUAAUUUAAUUGAUGUGCACAACUAAAAACAGUGGGUACUUCCAAAAGCACACAUAGUUCUUCCAAAAUGCACACAUAGUUUCUGGCUUUCUACAUGAAACAACUAAUUCAGAAAGGAUUAUAAAAAUGAUAACCCAGAUCAACUCAUGUACUAAUCAUUCAUUUACACAGAUAAAUUCUACAAAUAGAAAUUAACAUAGAAUAGGAAAUUGGGACGACUAGAAUAUGUGGCUCUUUUUUUUUUCUUUUUU